rnacentral:rRNA from 1 species
GACGAACGCUGGCGGCGUGCUUAACACAUGCAAGUCGAACGGAAAGGCCCUGCUUUUGUGGGGUGCUCGAGUGGCGAACGGGUGAGUAACACGUGAGUAACCUGCCCUUGACUUUGGGAUAACUUCAGGAAACUGGGGCUAAUACCGGAUAGGAGCUCCUGCUGCAUGGUGGGGGUUGGAAAGUUUCGGCGGUUGGGGAUGGACUCGCGGCUUAUCAGCUUGUUGGUGGGGUAGUGGCUUACCAAGGCUUUGACGGGUAGCCGGCCUGAGAGGGUGACCGGCCACAUUGGUACUGCGAUACGGCCCAGACUCCUACGGGAGGCAGCAGUGGGGAAUAUUGCACAAUGGGCGGAAGCCUGAUGCAGCAACGCCGCGUGCGGGAUGACGGCCUUCGGGUUGUAAACCGCUUUCGCCUGUGACGAAGCGUGAGUGACGGUAAUGGGUAAAGAAGCACCGGCUAACUACGUG